UAAAUAAACAAAAUUUAAAAAUAUAUAUUAUAUGCAAAAUUUAAAUAUAUAUAUUAUAUGCAAAAUGUAUAAAUUAAAGAAAAUAAAUAAAUUUUGAAGGAAGUUCUCUAUUUGAUUAUUUCAUAUUGUUAUUUUAUUGUACCUUACUCGAAAAUAUAUUAGUAAGUAAUAAAAAUUAAUAACAAAGUAAAAUGUAGUAAAAAAAUCACUAUAUAUUAAUAAUACCGAAUUAGAAAUAUAAACAAAAAUAAUAUAGAGUUACACAAUAUAUAACACUAAAAUAGAAAUUAUAUAUUUUUAAAAAAUUUAAUAAUACCAAAUACAUUUAAUACAUCUAUAAAAUAGAAAUAUAUUCGCACGGACGUGCGGUUUAAAAUCUAGUUUUGUUUUAUUUUGAAGCCACCAAUAUGUAUAUUCAAAAUCACCUUAAUUUCAAAAUGAUGCUAGCAUUUUGAGUUACAACAAUGUUUAACAGUUGAAUCCAUGUUCUUCUGAAGAAGUGAACAAAGGUCUUACGAGGUUCAAAGUCAUAUAUGAAGCCAGGCUUGUAAAUUAACUAACAACCAAAA
rnacentral:lncRNA from 1 species